UAUAGAGGUCUCAAGCGUUGUUCGGAUUCAUUGGGCGUAAAGGGUGCGUAGGUGGCGCCGUAAGUCGGGUGUGAAAUUUCGGAGCUUAACUCCGAAACUGCAUUCGAUACUGCGGUGCUUGAGGACUGGAGAGGAGACUGGAAUUCAUGGUGUAGCAGUGAAAUGCGUAGAGAUCAUGAGGAAGACCAGUGGCGAAGGCGGGUCUCUGGACAGUUCCUGACACUGAGGCACGAAGGCCAGGGGAGCGAACGGG
rnacentral:rRNA from 1 species